rnacentral:rRNA from 1 species
AUUUUAGUCUUAUUAGAGGAACCUGUUUAUUAAUUGAUAAUCCACGAUUAAUUUUACUUAUUUUAAUAAUUCAUAUAUCGCUGUCAUGAAUAUAUUAAAAAAUUUAUUUUCUUUAUUUAUUUUUAUAAUUUAUGUUAAGUCAAGAUGUGGUUUAUAAAUAAGUAUAUAAUGGGUUACAUUAAAUUUUAUUUUUGGAUUUAAAAUGAAAAUUAAAAUGAAAUUGGAUUUAAUAGUAAAUUUAUUUAUUUAGUUAAUAUGAAGAAAGAUCUAAAAUAUGUACAUAUUGCCCGUCAUUCUUAUUAAAAAUAAGACAAGUCGUAACAAAGUAAAUGUACUGGAAAGUGUAUUUAGAAAGUAAAUAAAUAUCUAAA